rnacentral:lncRNA from 1 species
UUUUGGAUGAAGUGUUCUAUAUAUAUCUAUUAAGUCCAUCUGGUCUAAUUUUUCAUUUAAUUCUAUUAUUUCCUUGUUGAUUUUCUGUCUGGAUGUUCUGUCCAUUGGUGUUAAUGGUGUGUUGAGGUCCCCUACUAUUAUUGUAUUGUUGUUGAUGUCUUCUUUUAGUUCUAUUAAGAGUUGCUUUACAAAUUUUGGUGCUCCUGUGUUGGGUGCAUAGAUAUUUAUAAACGUUAUUUCUUCUUGAUGAAGUCUCCCUUUGAUCAUUAUAUA